rnacentral:SRP_RNA from 1 species
GCCGGGCGUGGUGGUGUGCGCCUGUAAUCCCAGCUACUAAGGAGGCUGAGGCAGGAGAAUCACUUGAACCCAGGAGGCAUAGGUUGCAGUGAGCCAAGAUUGCGCCACUGCACUCCAGCCUGUGCAACAAAGUGAGACUCUGUCUCAA